GUCCACGCCGUAAACGAUGGGCACUAGGUCCUUGGGGGAGCGACCCCUUGAGGGCCGGCGCUAACGCAUUAAGUGCCCCGCCUGGGGAGUACGGCCGCAAGGCUGAAACUCAAAGUAAUUGACGGGGGCCCGCACAAGCGGUGGAGCAUGUGGUUUAAUUCGACGCAACGCGAAGAACCUUACCUGGGCUUGACAUGCACGGGAACUCGUGGGGAAACCCGCGGGGCUCUUCGGAGCUCGUGCACAGGUGCUGCAUGGCUGUCGU
rnacentral:rRNA from 1 species